rfam:Triticum aestivum genome assembly, contig: Triticum_aestivum_CS42_TGACv1_scaffold_225081_3B
CAAGUAUUUUAGUUCGGAAAUACUUGUCGUCAAAAUGAAUAAAAGGGGGUGUAUCUAGACGUAUUUUAGUUCAAGUUACAUCUCUUUUUAUACAUUUUGAUGAUAAGUAUUUUCGGACGAAGGGAGUACUUG